rnacentral:rRNA from 1 species
UACGUAGGGACCAAGCGUUGUCCGGAAUCAUUGGGCGUAAAGAGCGUGUAGGCGGCUUGUUAAGUCUUGCGUGAAAUCUCGGGGCUCAACCCCGAGCGGUCGUGAGAAACUGGCAGGCUAGAGUGCGGGAGAGGAGAGUGGAAUUCCUGGUGUAGCGGUGAAAUGCGUAGAGAUCAGGAAGAACACCGGUGGCGAAAGCGUUCUGCUAGACCUGUACUGACACUGAGGGACGAAAGCUAGGGGGAGCGAAUGGG